rnacentral:rRNA from 1 species
ACGCACUAGUGAUUGGAUCCAGACUUUGAUCAUGGCCCUUGAUGAACGCUAGCUACAGGCUUAACACAUGCAAGUCGAGGGGAAACGACAUCGAAAGCUUGCUUUUGAUGGGCGUCCACCGGCGCACGGGUGAGUAACGCGUAUCCAACCUGCCCACCACUUGGGGAUAACCUUGCGAAAGUAAGACUAAUACCCAAUGAUAUCUCUAGAAGACAUCUGAAAGGGAUUAAAGAUUUAUCGGUGAUGGAUGGGGAUGCGUCUGAUUAGCUUGUUGGCGGGGUAACGGCCCACCAAGGUUACGAUCAGUAGGGGUUCUGAGAGGAAGGUCCCCCACAUUGGAACUGAGACACGGUCCAAACUCCUACGGGAGGCAGCAGUGAGGAAUAUUGGUCAAUGGACGAGAGUCUGAACCAGCCAAGUAGCGUGCAGGAUGACGGCCCUAUGGGUUGUAAACUGCUUUUAUAAGGGAAUAAAGUGAGUCUCGUGAGACUUUUUGCAUGUACCUUAUGAAUAAGGACCGGCUAAUUCCGUGCCAGCAGCCGCGGUAAUACGGA